UACGGAGGGGGCUAGCGUUGUUCGGAAUUACUGGGCGUAAAGCGCACGUAGGCGGAUUGGAAAGUUGGGGGUGAAAUCCCGAGGCUCAACCUCGGAACUGCCUUUGAUACUGGCGAUCUUGAGUCCGGGAGAGGUGAGUGGAACUCCUAGUGUAGAGGUGAAAUUCGUAGAUAUUAGGAAGAACACCAGUGGCGAAGGCGGCUCACUGGCCCGGUACUGACGCUGAUGUGCGACAGCGUGGGGAGCAAACAGG
rnacentral:rRNA from 1 species